rnacentral:lncRNA from 1 species
GGGGCCUGGGUCCUCAAAAGCCUACCUGCCCUCCCCCUACUUUAUCUAUUACACGAAUAAACGCAGAGGAGGGGGAGGGGAAGCUUUAUUUAUAGAAAUGACAAUAGGGAGCCAGGCGAGGCCCCCCAGAAGCAAGGUUCAAGUCUCUUGCUUUCUUCCUUAAAAAAAAAAAAAAAAGAAGAAGAAGAAGAAGAAGAAGAAGAAAAAGAAGAAGAAGAAGGAAGAAAGAAAAAGACAGAAAGAGAAAUAGGAGGCUGCACUCCUCGUUUUCAGCUUUGGCGAAGAUGGAUCCACGUUUCAUCUUUAAUCACGCCAGGCCCAGGCCCAUCUGUCUUGUUUACUCUGCCGCGGAGAGGACGGGCCUCGGUGGCGACCAUUACCUCGACACCCGGCUAACAAAUGAGGCCCGGCUCCGACGCCGCCUCUGCUGCUGCCGCUGCUGGAAGACAGCCUGGAUUUUCUUUCUUUGUCCCCCAUUCCUGACACCCAGCGAAAGCACCCUGUGACUGCCAGAUAGCGCAGUGUUUUGGCCACGGUAACACGCGCACACACACACACACACACACACACACACACACCCUCCUCCCCCUCGGUGCCCCUCCAUGGGCACACUGACUGCUCACCCCCUUCCACCAAGGGGUGGGGUGGGGGGGCAGCAGCAGGAAGGGGACACGUGGAGGUGGGGGGUGGCCUUGGCACCGCAGGACCAGGCAGGGAAAUUGAGUCCAACAGAAAAGAGACCCGGAGACCCGAGAGGGCCUUCUUCUGGAAGGUCAAGCCAUUCCUGGCAGAGUGAGGGGCCAGCUGAGUUCUGGAAGCUGGGCACAACCCUCUGGCCAAUUGAGUUGUGCAGCCAGGCCUUCUCUCCUCCGCUGCAAAUGAAUGUGAGACUAGCACAGAAAAUGUGGUGGGGCCUCCCGGUCUGGGAGACAUAUUGCAGAGACCUCUCCCAUAGUUUAUCAUUGUUUUGCAUUGAUUAUUAUUAUUAAUUAUUAUUAUUAUUAUUAUUAUUAUUAUUAUUUUAUGUCAUGCGCGUCCUGUCUCCUGUUCUCUCUCUGACAUUCCAAACCAGGUCCCUUCCUAGUUCUGGGGCUGCCUGAGUCUAGAACCCUUCGUUGGCGUGAAAAUUUUGUGUCCUGUACAGAGUGACAAUAGAAAUAAAUGUUUGGUUUCUUGUGACCAGCACGGCGUGUUUUUGUUGAAACCUUGAUGUAAAGAUACAGACGAAUGCCACCCAGCGUAUAUUUUAAGCAUCUCAGUCCAUUCGGCCUCACAUUGUAUGUGGUUGAGGAUUUUUUUUCGAAGGGUCCAAGGAGAAUUUCUAUCUCAGAGGACUCCAAAUUGUGGUAGCUGGUUUGUUUUCCUUUUGGGGUGGAUGUGUUUUGUUUGGGGCUUUUAAUUUUUUCCCUCCAGUCCAAAAAUGGAUUGAAAGUACUGGGAGGGCCGACUCCAAUCCCUAAUGGGGGAAAAUGUUUCAUUGUAGGACACGAGAGGCUUAAGUAUGGCAAAGCCUUUCAUAUCGUGAUUUAUUUGUCAUAAGCAAAUAAAAUGCGGUUAAGCUGUCUCUUUCUAGACAGACGGCUCUUUGCUUAUUAAGGUUCGGAGGGAGGAUUUCUGCGAGGCCGGCCUCUUUCCUCCCGCCUAAGAAGGUAUCGUUUUCCUCUGAGGUGUUUAAAGCUUUAAUGAGUCUAAUUUUUUGCACAGAUGUUUCUGGGUGUUUGCAGGUUUUCAGAGUAUUUUUAUAUUACAAAGGAGCUAGCCGGUGCCAUAGCUCAAACUCUGACAAGCAAAUAGAUAAUCAAGAAGACAAAUGGCCUCUUUUGUGAAGCCCUGCUCCUGUAUUAAUUUUCAUUUUCUUUCUCAUAGAAAGUAUCGAAAGUACGACCGGGGACCAAAUAGCUUUCUGUCUCUGAGGUCCCAGUCACCCCUAGAAUGGAGUGGGGGAAGGGGGUGGGGGUGCCGAUGACCCUCACAAGCUCUGUCGGGCUUGGGCCGUUUUGGGGCAGCACCCAAGAGAUGUGCUUAAGGUCCGAGGGCUCCAGCCUUGGGGUCUCUGGUCUUGUGGUGGCCCAGGAUACAGCCACCCGCCUCCAAAAAACUUGGGGCUCGAGAGAGCAUAUGCAAUUAAAAGUCGUUUUUCAGUCCCAUCUUCCCUCCAGAAAAUAAACAUAGCUGAUUCCACCAGCACGUUUUUUACUGUUAUUUCUUUUGUAUUCCUCCGGUUUGCAGCGCCCGGGAGUUUGAGGCUGGGUAGGGCCUGGGACACACAGGGCUGGUGUCCACAGCACGGGAAAGGGCGCUGGAACUGCCCGUUGAAAUGCUCCUGGAGGUCUCAUUUAAAAAAAAAAAAAAAUUGACAGGACCUGGAGGCGAGCUUUGUUUUGGUCGAAUCGCGGUGUGAUGUUUAACUGCCAAAGGGAUACCGCCCUUAGUGGAGGGGGAAAAUAGUCCUUAAAAAGCAUAUGCCCCCCCAGGAAUGUCUCUAUAGAACCAAAUCAAAGCUGCUCCUUGGAAGGUAUGAAUAGAAUAAAAAAAAGAUUUCUAUGGAGCUUAAAGUUCACAGCCAUUCUGUGUAGACAAGAGCUAAGAAAAAUGUGAGAAUUAUACAGAAAACCAUUAAUCACUUCUUUUCUUUAAAUACGUAUCCUCUCUCCUUUGUUAUUAUUCAACAGCAAAUCUCC